AAAGCGCAAGUCUGGAGCCGAAGUUGUGGGGGGAAUCGCCAAGCGUACCAGUUUUGGAGGUCACAGGUCCGCGGGGCGCAGCUAAUGGCGGAGCAAGCUGUGAGGGGAGGGUCGUCCAAUUGUCGUCAGCGUGAACGCGGGCGCCCAGUGAGUGUCUGAGAGAACCCCAACUCCAGACCCCAAAGUCUGCCCCGGCCCCGCGCUCGUCUCUGCCUCGUCGACUUUGUCUUAUACCACUUUCCCUUCCUUUUUCCCUGGGGAGUCCUUUUGGUCCCUCCCCUGCCUUUUCCCGCUCAGAAAGCCGAAUUUCGCAGAUUCUCAGCUCCGAGGAGAAAAUUUUGCCGGAAAUUAAAUCCUUCCUUCUGUUAGGCAGUAGUCGACUGAUGGGAGGAGCUAAAAGUCGCUUGGUGUCCUGACAAGAUGUGUUACUCUUUUGCUAAGAUCGUCAUCUCUAAUGCUUUGAGGGAGAUAACUUCUGCACACCUAGAACUUUCGGAUUACUACCGAGCUUGAAGAAUCUUAUUUUGGAAGAGACUUUUUGGUUUUUCUAGACAUUGGACUUUCAUGUACAGUUAAAUUUUCAAGAUAAUUUUGGAGACUAACAUGGAGUUUUUUACUUUCAUUUUUGCCAAGAUUCAUCCAUAAAACAGGGAUGUCCAUCUGGCAAAGUUUUUGUGAAGAUUAAGAAAGAUAAUGUAUUCAGAGAUAAGCAGAAGGCUUGGCACUUGGAUUAAAUUAGAAUGACUUGGGGCUUCCCUGGUGGCGCAGUGGUUGAGAAUCUGCCUGCCAAUGCAGGGGACACGGGUUCGAGCCCUGGUCUGGGAAGAUCCCACAUGCCGCGGAGCAACUGGGCCCGUGAGCCACAACUACUGAGCCUGAGCGUCUGGAGCCUCUGCUCCGCAACAAGAGAGGCCGCGAUAGUGACAGGCCCGCGCACCGCGAUGAAGAGUGGCCCCCACUCGCCGCAACUGGAGAAAGCCCUCACACAGAAACGAAGACCCAACACAGCCAAAAAUAAACAUAAUAAAUAAAUAAUAAAUAAAAAUUAAAAAAAAAAAUUAGAAUGACUUCACAGAUUGCAAUCAAGUCCACCAGAAAUGUACUUCAACAAAAAUAUUAUAAUCAGAACACAUUUUAAGACUAAGUAUACUUAAGAUGUCAUUCUUCACUUGAAUUUCUCUCAAAAGCUUCAGAUUGCAAAUUGCAUUAUUUUUAUUGCUUCCCUUCUCAUUUAGCACAAAAUCGUCUCUUUUUAGUUUAACUAUGUGCCCAUUAAUAGACAAAUGGAUAAAGAAGAUGUGGCGUAUACAUAUGAUGAAUAUAUAUUACUCGGCCAUGAAAAAGAAUGAAAAUUUGCCAUUUGCAACAACAUGCAUGGAACUAGAGUGUAUUAUGCUAAGUCAGACAGAGAAAAACAAAUCCUGUACAACUUCACUUAUAUGUGGAAUCUAAAAAACAAAACAAACGAACAAACCUAACAAAACAGAAACAGAUUCAUAGAUAGAACAAACUGGUGGUUGCCAGAGGGAAAGGGGGUUGGGGGGGAUGACUGAAAUCGGUGGAGAUUAAGAGGUACAAACUUCCAGUUAUAAAUGAGUCACAGGGAUGUCAUGUACAGCGCAGGGAAUACAGUUCAAUAAUAUUGUAGUAACUUGGUAUGAUUACAGAUGGUAACUAGACUUAUCGUGGUGAUAAUUUUAUAAUGUAUAAUAAUAUUGGAUCACUAUGUUGUACACCUGAAACUAAUAUAAUAUUGUAAGUCAAUUAUACUUAAGUUAAAAAUUGACACAGGCAAUGGCAUUAAAAAAUGUUUUAAACAAUAAAAUAAAAAAAAGAA